UAGCAUAAUCAUUUGCUUCUUAAUUGGUAGCUGGAUGACGGUUUAACAAAAAUAUUAUAAACAUUUCUUUUCUUUAGGAAAAAACUUGUAUUUUAAGUAAAAAUACUUAAAUGGGAUUGAGGGACGAUAAGACCCUGAAAGCUUUAUUUUUAACUGAGAAAUAGUUAGUUAAAAUAAUAUUCUUAUCUUUAUCUGGAAUUAGCUGGGGUAGUUGCUCUAUUUAAACUAGUGUGUCUUUACUACAAUUAUUAUUGGUCAAUGAUCCUUUAUAUUUGGGUAGGUAGGGUUAGUUACUUUAGGGAUAACAGCGUAAUAUAUUUGGAGAGUCCAUAUCUAUAAUUAUGAUUGCGACCUCGAUGUUGAAUUAAAAUAAUCUUUACA
rnacentral:rRNA from 1 species